rnacentral:ncRNA from 1 species
GCUGCGGGACGACCCGCAACAGAGCGCAACGUUAACGCAGGACGACCUGC